rnacentral:tRNA from 1 species
GGGUACUUAGCUCAAUGGUCAGAGAAUCACUCAUGAGUGCUGAGGUUGUGGGUUGGAGUCCCACAGUACACC